rnacentral:lncRNA from 1 species
UUAUAUGACAUGGAGAGCAUCUUUGCAGGUACCAGAGUCUUAAUAAUGGAUUGUAGUUAGUUUAUUGCCUUAGUUAGUUAGUAUUGUUGAUUAUAGAUAUGCUUAGAAUAGAUUGUAGUUAAUAACCUAGGCUUGGAUUAUUAUUAUUAUUCGAUGCUUACUUUAGGGCUUUAGAAAUUGUGUAGCGACCUUUGUUAUGAGAUUAGGGUUUAGCAAAUUACAGGAGACAAUUAUGUUAUUACUGAAAUGAUAGAAUGAUCGAACCAUAGAUAAUGCCUAGAGUUAUUUUAUUGUUAAGGCUUAAUGUAUGAAUAAUCUAGGCCUGGGUAGUUCCACAAUAUUUUGUUAUUGGGAUUUGUAUUUGUUUUGGGUUGCCAUGUGGAACUUAUGUGAAAUAUCUAUGGACUUGAGUAAUAAAUUAGGUUUGUAUGCUCGUUUGGGGGCUUAUUCAUGUAUUACUAAUAUUGUGAAAUCGUAAGGGGGUUUAUAUUAUUGUUUUUGGUGACUUGAGAUGAUAUUCACGGUGUGUUGCCUAUGUGGGGGCAUUAUCUGAUAUUAUAGCCUUAUAGGUACAUUUUAUGCCCCGGUAGUUGACAUAAUGCCCGAGUUGGGGGUUAAAAUGACAUUAGUGAUGCCUUACAUACAUGAAUAUUUCAAUGGUACAUUGCUUAGAUUAAAUCAUGGAUAGUUGACAUAUGAGUGAAUUCUGAGCUUACGUGUAUAUGUGAUGAAUGGAUUCGAGAUCUUCAUACUGAUUUAGUUGUGUGCAUUACAUCCUCAUAUCAUACAUACAUUCAUAAUCAUUGGUACUAUUGAGGAAACAUCGAUUUUGAUAGAAAUGAGACACUUUUACAAAACUUUUUGUCGUAGCCCACGAGUUGGAAAGGAGAUAUAGGUAUUGAGAUUAGGAUUGAGUCUUCAAAAGUAUAUGGGUUGCAACCCCCCCCCCCCCCCCCACAGUCCUACUACAACAUUAUCCUUCUUGGUAUGGUUGAUACUGUUUUAGUGCUUGCUCUUGUACUAUAUUAUUGUGUUAGAAACUUGUUUGUGAUAUUGUGUUUGAGCAUCCAUUUCACUUUAUUAAAUUACUUUACAUCAUCUUAUAUGGAUAUGGGAUUGAGAUAUUAUGAGACAUGGGGUGAGGUUAUAUUUGACCUUUAAUAGCAUGUUACUGAAUAUUUAUAUACUCUCUCCUUAUUUGAUCUCAUAAUUGUUUGUUGACAUCAUGUGAUUAAACCUGAAAUGUAUUUCUUAUGUAGUGAGUCUUUUGUAUAAGUGUUUCUCUGUAAUUGUGGAUUAUGAAGUGGCUAGUAUUGACUCACCUAGGUUAUAGUGCCUACCCUAUUCUUGCUAUGGUUGUUGCUUGUUGUUUUGGAUUACUCUGGU